UGGGGAAUAUUGCACAAUGGGCGCAAGCCUGAUGCAGCCAUGCCGCGUGUAUGAAGAAGGCCUUCGGGUUGUAAAGUACUUUCAGCGAGGAGGAAGGCGUUGUGGUUAAUAACCGCAGCGAUUGACGUUACUCGCAGAAGAAGCACCGGCUAACUCCGUGCCAGCAGCCGCGGUAAUACGGAGGGUGCAAGCGUUAAUCGGAAUUACUGGGUGUAAAGCGCACGCAGGCGGUCUGUCGAGUCGGAUGUGAAAUCCCCGGGCUCAACCUGGGAACUGCAUCCGAAACUGGCAGGCUAGAGUCGUGUAGAGGGGGGUAGAAUUCCAGGUGUAGCGGUGAAAUGCGUAGAGAUCUGGAGGAAUACCGGUGGCGAAGGCGGCCCCCUGGACAAAGACUGACGCUCAGGUGCGAAAGCGUGGGGAGCAAACA
rnacentral:rRNA from 1 species